rnacentral:rRNA from 1 species
UACGUAGGGUGCAAGCGUUGUCCGGAAUUAUUGGGCGUAAAGAGCUCGUAGGCGGUCUGUCACGUCGGCUGUGAAAACCCGAGGCUCAACCUCGGGCCUGCAGUCGAUACGGGCAGACUAGAGUUCGGUAGGGGAGACUGGAAUUCCUGGUGUAGCGGUGAAAUGCGUAGAUAUCGGAAGGAACAUCAGUGGCGAAAGCGGCUUCCUGGACCAGAACUGACGAUCAGGCUCGAAAGCGUGGGGAGCAAACAGG